rnacentral:misc_RNA from 1 species
AGAAGAUUUCAACAUGGCAAGCAACUCGAACAGGAUUCGUAUUCACGACAGAGAUGUUUUUGCUGCAAUAACCGAGGGUCCAGCAAAUGUAUUUUCAAGCACUCCUUUUCUUCUCGUAAAGGCCAGGUGGCUUGCAGAUGACUCAGCCCAAGUCUGUCCACUUUGCUCUCAGAAGUUUACACAAAUCCGGAGAAAACAUCACUGUAGGCAGUGUGGAAAAGUUCUCUGUAGCAAGUGUUGUAAUGAGAAGGUUCCUCUUCCACAACUUGGAUUUGAUGAGCCAGAGAGGAUCUGUGACUACUGUCUUGAAGUAACUUCCCUUGUCACAAAGUCAAGAUCACUUCAGAUGACAUUCAAACUAGAAGCAGCAAAAGCUUUAACAGAGUUAUGCAAAGAUCCUGAUGGACUCACAAAGGUUGUGGAGAUGGGUGGGGUGCAGACUCUUAUAUUUCUCAGUCAAAGUGAGAAUUAUGACGUAAAAGCUGCUGUUGCAUCAGGACUUCAGAUCCUUUCUACUCAUCCUCCAUUGCACUUAAUGUUGGCCAAAUGUGGAGGCAUUAGAGCCUUGUGCAGCAUACUUUCCACUGUCAGUGAGAGUCAGGAGCAAACCUUGAUUGAUGGAAUCAGUGCAUUGAUGAUAUUUUGUAAAUCACCUGAAUUAAAAGCACAAGCCUUAGCUGAUGGUGCAUUAGAUCCUGUGUUAACAGUGUGUGCAAUGAAAGAAGCCAUUGCCCUCCUUGCCCUGAUGACAUUGAGUCACAUUGUUGAGCAUCAUGGCAAUGUAGCUCCCCUUAUAGAGAGCAAUCGGAAUGCCCUGCCAAGAAUUCUAGCUUUGACAAAGGCACAAGAUGAAAAGAUUCAAGAAAUAUCCUUGAGAAUUUUGGCACAGAUGUCUGUUGGUACAGACUGGCAGAGGCAUCGCAUUGUUCAGGAAGAUUUCUCAGCUGGUCGAUGUUUAGUUGAAGCCCUUACAAGAGGACCAAAAAAUCUACAGGUCCUUGUAAAUGCAUCCUGUCUGAUUGCAAAUUUGGCAACAGGGGACCAAGAUCAGAUGUCCCUUAGGGAUUGUUUACAAGCCAUGUGUUCUCUGACGUCAUCUCACACUGGUCAUAAAGACGUCCAGACACAUGUAUCCAGAGCCCUUGGUAACUUUUCAAAGUUUCAUCAGAAUUCAUCUAUUAUGAUACAAUAUCUGCCAAGAAUUAUAGAGACACACCUGAAGUCAACAGAUAAGACGAUCAAGUGUCAUGGCCUAAGGACUGUCAUGUACCUUCUCAGCCAUCAAAGAGAAAAGGCUGUAGAUGUUCUGAUAAGGGAAGGAGCUCAUGAAGUUCUUACAAGUUUAGGAUCAUUUCCUGGCAUUGUUGAUGCAAUUCAAACUGGUUUGCUAAAAGUAGUCACCACCAUUAGGGACUGUACAGUCACAAAAUAAUAGUCAUAUUAAUUAGUGCUGAAGGAUAGUGUUAUUGUCAGUCAUUUUAACUUGAUUAUAUGUACAUGUAUGUUGUAAUUUUUGUAGAUAAGAAAGUGAUUGCCUUAAUUUGCUAUUUUGACUGAGAUAGAUUUUUAAGCCAAAAUGUAUCAUGUAAAGGUCUUUAUUUGAUGCGGAUUAGGAAAGUUAUUUUGGAAAAAAAACAGACUGGAAACACAGAACUUAGAAAUCUUUUAUCUAUAAAGGUUUUCAAAUGAGCUUGUUCAAAUUAGAAUUGAGUUUUAAUGAGGAAAACCUGGGUGAUCUUUUCCAGCUCUUGUAAAAUUUGUAGAUUAGAAUUUUACUUAAGGGUAAAUGAUAUUUUUAUAUCAGUAUAUUUGUAGAAGCUUCCUUCAGUACAGGGCUCUUAAAUUGACUUAAUUACAAGUCAUCCAGUUUCAUACCAGCCACAAAGAAGAACUAGUAAUCAGUUCUUGAGGAUUAAAGGGUUUUAAAUCAAUCAAAAAGAACAAAGGAUGAAUGUGGAUAGAGAUGAUUGAAACAGAUUAUGAUGACAAUCUGGAAAUAUUUUAGGUCAUAACUUUUCAAGAUGCUCAAAUGGUGACAUGUAUUGUCCUUUUGUUGUUUAGGCCAACAGAUGGUUCCUUGUAAAACUGUUUAGAUCUUAAAUUACUUACUCAAGAAGCUAUCCUGAAUUGUUUAGGGUUUUAACUAGACAAAAGUUGUCCCAAAAAUUAUCUCCCAUUUAUCAUGUUUAAGAAUUGCUGUGCCAAAUGUACCACAUUUUGAUGUCAUCUGUGUUCUACUACUGAACAGUGGCAUGGCAAUGUGGAAUCUAUUUGCUUUAUAUGAUACUAGAAAAUGUUGUAGAUUAUCUUCUGUUGACAACUGUAGUAGCAUGUGAAACCCCAAAGAUGAAUCAUUUUAGUUAACUGCAGACUUGUGCAUUCAAACCUAUGGAAAGUAUUUGGCUUAUUGACUCUCAGUGUGAUUUAAUUAUUUUCAUUCUUUUCACAGAAUGAAACAGUCAGUACUUCUCUCACUAGAUUAUAUAAAUGAAAAGAUAUUGCAUAAAAAAGUCUUCUUUUUAAAAUACUGUUUCCAAAGACAUAUUUGGAUGAUGCAGCAAUUUUACAGCAUGAAAAUAAUGGUUUGCAGAUGUAAGAGAAGAACACCAACCUAAUUUAGAUACAAAGCCCCUGCUUUCUGUAGGCAAGGACAGUUCUGUGUAUUUUACAUCGAAUUCUGCAUAGUUCAAUUUUUACUGAGUAAAUUUUCAUUUUAAAAUGGCCAACAUUGAGCUGAGCAAUAUCAAAUUCCACAAAUUUUAGGAUCUGUAAUGUUAUCUUGAUGUGAUAUCAUCAAUCUUUAAAGUUUAUGCAAAAAUUAAAUGUUAUUUUUAGACACCACAUGAAAUGAUCUAUACAUGCAUAUGUUCAUAUAUUGUAAAACUGAGCAAUAUUUUAGAGUUCAGUUAUAUACGUGCAGAGAUUUUCACUAUAUUGGUCUACACUCAAAUUUAAUCUAUGUGUUAAACAAGAAGCAGUAUCAGUUAUGAUUAUCAUGAUUGUGGAUUGUUGGUGUGCCAUGUAGUAGUGAAUUGUACUUGAUAAGGAAAUAAUUCAUGUUUACCUGAAUUGUAAUUUUAUAUUAAGGAAUGGAUAGGAAUUACUACACUGACAAUAACUGAAUAAAGAAAAGGAUUUUUUAAGCAAUGUUGCUAGAAAUGUGUAUGGUGUAUUGUUAAAAGGCUGUUAUCUAGUGUUAAAUUUGCCCAAUAAAUAUAAUUAAUUACCAAAUAAUGUAAUAAUGGCAUUAGCAGACUAUUUGAAAGUUUACAGCCUUUAUGAUACUAGCGCAGUCUGUUUUUUCUUUAAUUUAUCACAGUUUUCUUUAUGGUCUUGCUGUAGGUGGAUGUUGCCAAAAAAAAAAAGAGGGUUCAUUGUGCACUCAGCCUUCUGGCCUUCAUGGCUACAUCUUGGGUUGAUUAGUGAAGAGACUAGGGAUUAAACCAUGCAAAAGUAUCGUGUAAAAUUCAUUGUCUGGCAGAAACUCUGAUAUGCUGUGCAGUAAUGUGGAUCUGUGUAUGCCUACAGUCUGUGCAACAAUUGAAUCAAAUUUUUCUGAAAUUUUUCAGCCAUCAUUGACUGAAGCCAACAAAAUGUUUGAUGUAAUUUUUGAUGCUGAAUGUACAGAAUACAUAUUAAAUUUGCUAGUAAGCCUAGGAGAAUUUUUGAUAACCAUUUUAUCCAAGGUCAGUAGAACAAUUUGAUAAAUAUGGUGUGUAGUGUGUUAAGUACAUUAGGUAGGUGAAUGAGUGUGUAAUCUGCAGGUAUUUCCAUUUUGCAUUAUAUUUGCUGUGAUAAAAAUGAUACGUAAACAAUACAGCAAUACUGCACUAGUCUUGUAGUUUUCUGAUGCAGCAAUUUAAUUUAGAAGCAUAAUGUUACUCUAACUAGCAGAUAAACAGUUAGGUGUAUGCAAUUGCAUUCAGAGGGCCAAAUUGAAUUCUUUAUGGUUCCUAAGAAAUGAUUAACUUGACAAGAAUUGAUUUGGUGUGUAGUUUUUUGAAGUAAGUAGUGAUCGCACAUGUGUAUGCUAGGGUAGUAAAAUGUAUUGUUUCCUGACCUGAAUUGAAAUGGUUAAUUAUAUUCCAGGUGUCAUUGGUUUUUGUUUGAGAUAAAAUUGGUCAUGCAGGUCCAUUGCUAUCAGUGAUUUCAGUGUGCAGCAUAAUUUAAGUUAUAUAUUUACAGAAAACUUCAGAUCACACCAUUGUUGAAGCUCAAUAUAAAGGAAAUAGAAAUGGUGACAUGGUUCCCUGAAUUGCUUGUAGUCAACAAAAGUUACAUAUUCAGUAGGUAAUAACAUUCUUCAAGGCAAUUGGAAUUAAUGGUGACAAUUAGAAUAAUAAAAAAGUGAGAUCUUUA